UUAUUUUUUAUUUUUUCCCUUGAAACAGGGUAUCACUACUCUGUCACCACCCAGGCUGGAAUGCAGUAGUGCAAUCAGGGGCCACUGCAGCCUCGACCUCCUCAAGUGAUCUUCCCACCUCAGCUUCCUGAGUAGCUGGGACCACGGCUGGGAUCACAUAACACCACACUCAACUAAUUAAAAAAAUUUUUUUUUUGUUUUUUAUAUUUAAGACUUUAAUCUUCAAGGGACUGAUUUUAACUAUGAUAUACAUUCCGUAUCAAUGCUAGAAUCGGCCUGUACAGUCUCUCAAAGAAAAUUCUGUGGAGAUUUCAAUUGGAAAUGCACUGAAUUUAUAUAUGAAUUUGGGUAGAAUUGAUACUCUUAUGAUAUUGACUUUCCUAUCCAUUUCUCUCUCAAGAUUUUUUCGUGAAUUUCAGUAAAUCUUUUGAUAAACAUAUUCCUAUGUGUAGUCUAUGACUGCCAUUGCUAUUACGAAUGGUAUCUUUUCUUUUUGCAUUAUAUUUUCUAAGUAUUCCUUGUUGGUGUGAAAUAAACUUUUCAUUCUUUUGUUUGGA